GAUGAAGAACGCAGCGAAAUGCGAUAAGUAAUGUGAAUUGCAGAAUUCAGUGAAUCAUCGAAUCUUUGAACGCACAUUGCGCCCGCCAGUAUUCUGGCGGGCAUGCCAGUUCGAGCGUCAUUUCAACCCUCAAGCCCAGCUUGGUGUUGGGGAUCGGCACAGGCGCCCUCGGGCGCCCGCCGUCCCCUAAAUCUAGUGGCGGUCCCGCUGCAGCCUCCUCUGCGUAGUAGUUUUCUCCUCGCAAGGGCAGCUCGGUGGCGACCUCGCCGUAAAACCCCCAACUUCUGAAAGGUUGACCUCGAAUCAGGUAGGAAUACCCGCUGAACUUAAGCAUAUCAAUAAGCGGAGGA
rnacentral:misc_RNA from 1 species